rnacentral:rRNA from 1 species
GGGUUGUGAGGUUAAGCGACUAAGCGUACACGGUGGAUGCCCUGGCAGUCAGAGGCGAUGAAGGACGUGCUAAUCUGCGAUAAGCGUCGGUAAGGUGAUAUGAACCGUUAUAACCGGCGAUUUCCGAAUGGGGAAACCCAGUGUGUUUCGACACACUAUCAUUAACUGAAUCCAUAGGUUAAUGAGGCGAACCGGGGGAACUGAAACAUCUAAGUACCCCGAGGAAAAGAAAUCAACCGAGAUUCCCCCAGUAGCGGCGAGCGAACGGGGAGGAGCCCAGAGCCUGAAUCAGUGUGUGUGUUAGUGGAAGCGUCUGGAAAGGCGCGCGAUACAGGGUGACAGCCCCGUACACAAAAAUGCACAUAUUGUGAGCUCGAUGAGUAGGGCGGGACACGUGGUAUCCUGUCUGAAUAUGGGGGGACCAUCCUCCAAGGCUAAAUACUCCUGACUGACCGAUAGUGAACCAGUACCGUGAGGGAAAGGCGAAAAGAACCCCGGCGAGGGGAGUGAAAAAGAACCUGAAACCGUGUACGUACAAGCAGUGGGAGCACAGAGCAAUCUGUGUGACUGCGUACCUUUUGUAUAAUGGGUCAGCGACUUAUAUUCUGUAGCAAGGUUAACCGAAUAGGGGAGCCGAAGGGAAACCGAGUCUUAACUGGGCGUUAAGUUGCAGGGUAUAGACCCGAAACCCGGUGAUCUAGCCAUGGGCAGGUUGAAGGUUGGGUAACACUAACUGGAGGACCGAACCGACUAAUGUUGAAAAAUUAGCGGAUGACUUGUGGCUGGGGGUGAAAGGCCAAUCAAACCGGGAGAUAGCUGGUUCUCCCCGAAAGCUAUUUAGGUAGCGCCUCGUGAAUUCAUCUCCGGGGGUAGAGCACUGUUUCGGCAAGGGGGUCAUCCCGACUUACCAACCCGAUGCAAACUGCGAAUACCGGAGAAUGUUAUCACGGGAGACACACGGCGGGUGCUAACGUCCGUCGUGAAGAGGGAAACAACCCAGACCGCCAGCUAAGGUCCCAAAGUCAUGGUUAAGUGGGAAACGAUGUGGGAAGGCCCAGACAGCCAGGAUGUUGGCUUAGAAGCAGCCAUCAUUUAAAGAAAGCGUAAUAGCUCACUGGUCGAGUCGGCCUGCGCGGAAGAUGUAACGGGGCUAAACCAUGCACCGAAGCUGCGGCAGCGACGCUUAUGCGUUGUUGGGUAGGGGAGCGUUCUGUAAGCCUGUGAAGGUGUGCUGUGAGGCAUGCUGGAGGUAUCAGAAGUGCGAAUGCUGACAUAAGUAACGAUAAAGCGGGUGAAAAGCCCGCUCGCCGGAAGACCAAGGGUUCCUGUCCAACGUUAAUCGGGGCAGGGUGAGUCGACCCCUAAGGCGAGGCCGAAAGGCGUAGUCGAUGGGAAACAGGUUAAUAUUCCUGUACUUGGUGUUACUGCGAAGGGGGGACGGAGAAGGCUAUGUUGGCCGGGCGACGGUUGUCCCGGUUUAAGCGUGUAGGCUGGUUUUCCAGGCAAAUCCGGAAAAUCAAGGCUGAGGCGUGAUGACGAGGCACUACGGUGCUGAAGCAACAAAUGCCCUGCUUCCAGGAAAAGCCUCUAAGCAUCAGGUAACAUCAAAUCGUACCCCAAACCGACACAGGUGGUCAGGUAGAGAAUACCAAGGCGCUUGAGAGAACUCGGGUGAAGGAACUAGGCAAAAUGGUGCCGUAACUUCGGGAGAAGGCACGCUGAUAUGUAGGUGAAGUCCCUCGCGGAUGGAGCUGAAAUCAGUCGAAGAUACCAGCUGGCUGCAACUGUUUAUUAAAAACACAGCACUGUGCAAACACGAAAGUGGACGUAUACGGUGUGACGCCUGCCCGGUGCCGGAAGGUUAAUUGAUGGGGUUAGCGGUAACGCGAAGCUCUUGAUCGAAGCCCCGGUAAACGGCGGCCGUAACUAUAACGGUCCUAAGGUAGCGAAAUUCCUUGUCGGGUAAGUUCCGACCUGCACGAAUGGCGUAAUGAUGGCCAGGCUGUCUCCACCCGAGACUCAGUGAAAUUGAACUCGCUGUGAAGAUGCAGUGUACCCGCGGCAAGACGGAAAGACCCCGUGAACCUUUACUAUAGCUUGACACUGAACAUUGAGCCUUGAUGUGUAGGAUAGGUGGGAGGCUUUGAAGUGUGGACGCCAGUCUGCAUGGAGCCGGCCUUGAAAUACCACCCUUUAAUGUUUGAUGUUCUAACGUUGGCCCCUGAUCGGGGUUGCGGACAGUGUCUGGUGGGUAGUUUGACUGGGGCGGUCUCCUCCUAAAGAGUAACGGAGGAGCACGAAGGUUGGCUAAUCCUGGUCGGACAUCAGGAGGUUAGUGCAAUGGCAUAAGCCAGCUUGACUGCGAGCGUGACGGCGCGAGCAGGUGCGAAAGCAGGUCAUAGUGAUCCGGUGGUUCUGAAUGGAAGGGCCAUCGCUCAACGGAUAAAAGGUACUCCGGGGAUAACAGGCUGAUACCGCCCAAGAGUUCAUAUCGACGGCGGUGUUUGGCACCUCGAUGUCGGCUCAUCACAUCCUGGGGCUGAAGUAGGUCCCAAGGGUAUGGCUGUUCGCCAUUUAAAGUGGUACGCGAGCUGGGUUUAGAACGUCGUGAGACAGUUCGGUCCCUAUCUGCCGUGGGCGCUGGAGAACUGAGGGGGGCUGCUCCUAGUACGAGAGGACCGGAGUGGACGCAUCACUGGUGUUCGGGUUGUCAUGCCAAUGGCACUGCCCGGUAGCUAAAUGCGGAAGAGAUAAGUGCUGAAAGCAUCUAAGCACGAAACUUGCCCCGAGAUGAGUUCUCCCUGACUCCUUGAGAGUCCUGAAGGAACGUUGAAGACGACGACGUUGAUAGGCCGGGUGUGUAAGCGCAGCGAUGCGUUGAGCUAACCGGUACUAAUGAACCGUGAGGCUUAACCUUACAACGCCGAAGCUGUU